GUACUCUCUUCUCGGUUUCUGCCACGCUUCUUGCGGUUUUCCUUUCCUCCGCGGAUCUUCCGGUGCCUCACCAUUCCAAUGGAUGCGGUUCCAAAGUCUUCCGUGAAGCAAGGUCGCCAGUGGUACGCCUCGUACAUCGGGAUGGCGCCUUCUUCAGCUUUGCGGAGCGCCUUCUCUUUGCGGUUGAAGCGCUCGACGGAGGUGCCUCCCGUGCGCCUCCAGAGGAACACGACGAAGAUGCUGAUGGCGGAAAUCACCCAGGAGACGACAAACGGCACGACCAUGCGGCGGCUGCUCGCCACGCCGGGCCGCGUCAGCACGCACAGGCAGUAAAUCAGAAAGGUGCAGAAGAUCCACGCAGCGUGGAAGAGAAGCAAAUACCCAGACAGCGCCGGACAGCGGUAGAGCGCGUAGGACCGCUCCAGGUUCUUCGACGAAAAGUAGCAAGGGAUCCCCGUGACAGCCAUGUCGAAAUAUUUCCGGUCCUCUGGAAAGGGCCGUUCAACGAAAAGGCGAAAGCGUCAGCGACGCACGCAGGGACAGACGACGGAAUGCGAAGAGAAGAGAGGAAGCACGAGGUAGAGCGAAGUGGGGGAGGGGGGGAAUCGCCCAGAGAGAGGGUGGCCGAGGGAAGACGCGGAGGAGAAGCAAAAAGAGAGGCACAAGGCAAAGAAACACAAGAACAUCACACACACACACACACGGUCCUAUCGUGAGUUCUUCGAGAAGGACAUCAAAUAUCUGGACUACGAGUCAGUGGAAACUAGAGGGAGCGCGAUCGAAAUCGCGUGCAUCGCCCUACGAGGGGUCACUGGAGUGUCUUUCCGUUUUAGAGUGGAAGACAGGAGUGCAGAGGAGCCCUUUUUAUCUCUGUCCGACUUGUGCUGCAUUCUAGGUUGAGAUCUUCUCGAGAUCGGUUCAGAGCGGUCCCGAGGAGACCGAGCAUUUCUUCUCACGCGCGGGAUCUUUUCUGCGCGUUUUUCUUUCGUGGCUUCCCCUGACUCUCCGCCUGUGCUCUCUCCACCCUUUCUCUCCCCUCUGUUGUAUCGGGGCCAGCAGACCUCGGCGUGCCUGUCUCUGGCUUUGUCUCCGAAAAACGAGCGUAUGCAGCUCUCUUUCUCUCGCCAACAUUUCGCAUCCCCCCUGAGGCUUUUUUGGGUCGGCCCGUCUUUUCCUCGCGUUUACCUUCCGAGAAGAAUUUGUAGACAGAGUGUUUGGACCAUUUGAGGUAGAGCGCCUCGAGUCUGCCUGUGCCGCGGUGGUGCCAGGGAGUGUCAUCCACUUCCAGCGUGGCGUUUCGCUCCUUGUUUUUCUCGGCCAAGUCGAGACCCUCGUUGGUUGCGCGGCGCCCGAGCUCGGCGCCUCCGUCGACCAGAGAGCCUUCCACUCGGACAGGGACGCCGCGUUUCGCGCUGCCGCUUCGCUCUGCUGCGAAGUUGCUGUCGGCGACUCCGCGGAUCUUUAUCGACAUCAAUCUGUCGGGUUCGUCUUCCACGCCAAAGGACUGGAUCCGCAGACCGCCGUCGCCGUUCACGACGCUUCCGCCGGCCCGAGACGCCGUGCCCAUGACUGUUCCUCCGCGGGAGUCAAGUCGGACCGUUUCAAAGCUCAGCUUGUUGCUUAGGUUUCGGCGCGACUUCUCCGGUCCUGCAGCCUGCGGUGAAGCCGCAACUGCCAACAGCGAGAGGCCGGACUCGAGGCCCCGCAGCACGCGGGGAGACGUGCACAGCCUCGCCACCGCGGCGAGGCUGCCUCCCGCCGCACUCUCGGUCUCCUCGCCUUUUCCCGGGUCUCCAGACACGCCGGCAGUGCGCAGCUGCGUCGGGCAGUCGUCGCCCAAUACGCUCGACUUGAGCGAGAGCCGCGCCGAGCGGCCGCGGAACUUGGUCGAGGCCAGGAAGUCGGGACGCUCCACGCUCCGGUUCUGGCCGUAGGUUUCUGCGUCCGAACGCGCUCCGGGGACGUCCGGGUGAGAGUCCGGAAGGCCGGCAAGGACGAAUCGACUCGCCAGGGUUCCUGCCCCUGCGUCAACUCCUGCUUGCCCGUCUCCCGCGCCAUUGAGUUCCUCUGGAGAUCCGUCGCCGUCUGCUCGCUUUCCCGCGCGCGCCGCGACCCGCGUGGCGGCGGACUUGAGGCGUCCCAUUUCGCGGUGGGCGCGUGAGCUGAGACGCCGAGGCGAGCCGCGGGGCGGAGAGCGGGGGAGAGUGGGAGUGAGCGGAAAAGAAGGGACAAAGAAAACGGAGAGAAGGCAAGACGAACGGCGAGGCGAAACACCGAGGUCGGCGUGCAGGUGUGUGCCGGCCAGAGAACGGCGGCGUGGCACGUGGGUAGCUCGGCUGCUGACGCGAGUCACGGGCGAACGCUACACAGAAAAGCGGGUACGGGAGCGGGCGAUGUGAAGAGCGGCAUCGUGGACGGUGAGGCGCGGCAGAAGACUCUGCGUGGAUCUACGCAAAACUGUUGGGCAGCUCAAAAAACUGAGAACCGUCCUUGCGCAAAGAAGACGUUUCGGACAGCGGUGUGGAGCUUGCCGUUACGGGAACGGCGGACAAACGGAGAAACUGACGAGGCAUACCUUCUCCAAGACACAACCGCUAUGGGACAAACGCAAGACAACUGUAGCUUCGGCGCUUUCGUGCGUUGGCUUAGGAAACGGAACUGGAAACCCACGACCGGACCAAACAGGGGAACCGACUACAGCCGCCCCGAUGGCCCGGUGUAUGUACACCUCCGACAACGGCAUCCAAAUGUCCGUCAACACAACGUGGAACGGGAAUGUGCACCGGGAAAGGGCGGAGAGGGUCUGAACGGCAUAGAAGACGGGACUCCACGCUGCCCGAGACUCCAACUCAAGCUGGAAUCCAAGCCGAUCACAACGGAAAUCGCAUUCAUUUGGCCAGCCGGCCUAACAACGACGUGUCCGUGAAAAGCAGUGUAAGCGUGCUUUUUCGGGAAACAAAGGCAGAGGUCGGCGAAAAAUAAGCCAACAUAAGCGAAGCGCCGGGCAUUCGGAGCGCUGUGACGGGAAGAGACUGGACCUGCGAUUUCCACGCUCGAUUCCAGCUCUGUCGCCAGGAGGGACUCGGAGCCACCGUGGCAAAUUGCACAAUGAGCAAAACUAUACCUGAUUUAAAAAAUCUAUGUCAGUUACAGGGCCGACAAACAAACAGAUUGUGAAAGCAGACUGCCGCGCAGACGGGGGCGCUUCGGUAUAGAGAUGUGCAGCGAACCGGCAAGCGAGCUCUGGAGAGAUGCGGCAGAAGGCCGGACGCGGUGUCGCCUAGAGAGGCACAAUCUAACGCCUCGGAAUGAAGAUAGACGAAAUGGCUAAAACGACGGAAAAAAACGGGCGUACAGGGGACGAUGAUGUCGCUAGACAGACAAACGCGGCCACCUAGACAAGGGACAAUAAACCUGGUCUUUCGGUUUUGGAGACGGCAGAAGAAAACGGCGUUUGAAAUCGUGUUCCACGAAAGAAAAUCGAAAGAGAAAGGCUCCUGCAAACACUGUUUUACCUAAGAGGGUCGUCGGGGCUUCGGGUCUCUGGGGUAGGUCCGUCCGCUAGUCGUCUCAGCGCUCCUCUCGAUCACGCUAAGAACGAGUGGAAGGGGGAAGGAGGGAACGAAUCGCUGGGGAAAGACAGCCACAAAAGACGUGGAAGACGGUCAGGCGAGCCUGUGCCUCUCGUCCUCACUAAUAGAAUAAGAUACAAAAUCUAAAAGGAAAGAGACAAGCACGCGCUGCAUAAAGAUCGCCAGGAGUCACGCUUGGUAGGAAGCCGGGGGAACGAUGACCCAGAUGGAACCCCACCUCCUUUCGAUCGGCCUCCGUCCCAGCUGCUGAAACCGAAUCCGCUGCCUGCUCUGAGCAGCUGUGCUGUAGCCUCUGGGCGGUUUCCCUCCACAAUAUUGGGAUAGGCAGCGGGCCUCACGUCCAUUUUAAACUUCUGCCCUUAAAGUCUACGACUCCACAAAUGGUUUCCACUUGCAGAGAGAGGCCAGAAAAGGAUCUCCCUGUCGGGAAUUGGGUUCCAUUCUCUGCGCGAGAGAUCGCUCUAGCCCGGGCCUCACGCAAGUGCAAUGGCGUCCGAGGCACAGCUCCUCAGCACCCCACACACGAACGCGCAGUCGCCAUGCCAAAGCUUUAACUGCGAAAGAAAGAGUCUGUUCCUGUGUCACCACGGAGUUCCAGUCCUCAGACAGGGGCCAUGCUGUAAACAACGGAUUCGUUAAACUGCGGAGCCAAGCACACACACACACACACACGAACCGUACACGGAUUAAUCAAAUCGAGCUGUGCAUCUAAGUUAAUGCUCGGUUAUCUAUCAUAGACGGUAGCUUCCCGGGUAAAGUUUUGACGUAUUAGACCAGCAUGGGAGAGAUGUUGUUGGCCGAGCAGCAAAGCAAAGGAUCGCCCAGCCGGUCAGCGGCCACGUACUCCCGAUCAACAACGCCUGCCGUACUGCAACGCUCUCAAAGGAUCUGCCUUUCCGACACGAAAUGGCUGUCAUCCAUGUCACUCGUGCCUUUCUCUCCAACUCGAAACGUUACGCUGCCGGUCAAUCCUACACUCUGUACUCCCGCUGCGCGCAGAUCAGUCGUCUCCAGGGUCUUCAGACGCCUCCCGAUGUCACGCGUCCAAACGGAAUCCGCGGGAUCGAAGGAUGUGUUGUUCGUGGUGCCUUUCCACAGUUUUAGGGGCAUGGGGCGAGAACCUCGUGUUUUCUC
rnacentral:lncRNA from 1 species